CUGUUUAAAGCUACUUAGUGUUCCAGAGUAUCAACUGGAUGUAACUAGAAUUCCGAAGCUGCAUUGGAAUAAAAUGGCAGCUGAUCCAAUGCUAAGGAUGACUUUGACACCAAAGCAGAGAAUGCAUGGAGUGCGUAACCACGAUCCUUUUGCCACCUGUGCUCACCAUGACAGGAUCAAUCCAGGAUGACAUAAAGGAUACUUUCCGGUUGCCUCUAAUGCUACAUUGAGUUGAUAUGACCCUCCUCCUCCUCUCCCUUUCAUCUUUAUCAUCUCAUUUAUUAAAUGGAAAGAAAAGAAGAUGGUACAUUCUAGUUUUUCUUUUAAAAGGAAUUUAGGGAAGAGGAUGUGACUCAGGUGACUAGGCUCCCACCUACCACAAGGGAGGUCGCUGGUUCGGAUCCCAGUGCCUCCUAAAGAAGAUUGUGGGCUGGCACAAUGGGCAGGUGCAGCAAGCUGACACAAUAAGAGACACAAGAAAAAAGGGCAUGGUGAGAGACACAGCAAAGCAGGGAGCAGAGUUUCCUGGUGCCUCCUAAAGAAGACAGUGAGCUGAUGCAGUGGGUAGGCACAGUGAGCUGACUCAACAAGAUGAUGCAACAAG
rnacentral:lncRNA from 1 species